AAUCGGCCAAACCUGCGGAUGCGGCAGGUAAACAAACUGGCCUGGCCUGCCAGUGGCUUUCUUGCAUAAGCGGUGGAACAAGUUUGGGAACCACUGAUCUAGAUAACUCUGGUUCUUCUUAAGGAGACUCCCCUUUUCCUAAGAGAAACUCUUAGCCAGCAAGAGCUAACUGCCAAUCCCCAACUAUUAUUCCCAACAGCUAUGGACCCUUCCUUUUCCAACUUUCUAUGGAGGUCAUGCCAAAUUUUCUGUUCAAAGUUCCUCCCCAACUGCAGAUUUAAUAUUGAUGCUAAUUAGAUGUACUCUGAAGACAAACCAUCCUUCUGAACAGCACUUACAGUAUCUCCAUUAACUUGAAGUCACAGUAUUUAUGGAGCCAAUAGCCCUUCGUACUAAAUUUACUUCAAUGGGGGUCUGAGUUUGGGAUCAGCAAUCUCUAGUUUCCCUCACUGGGGUUUGUUGAGCAGAAGACACAUCUUCAGCCCUUUCUCUGGUUAAGGCAAAACCUCAACAAUCUUCCCAUUUCCUGCCAACUCUCAUAUUUAGACCCAGCAGUAUCCAGGAAACAACUAGAAAGUUGCCAUGAGAAUUCAGAUAUCACUUUCUAGAAUGCUUUGGUGCUUUAGAGUCCUGCCCUUGCACAAUAAUUAGUAACAAAAUGUUAUGCAAUGUAUUGGCAGGGCAACAGCUCAAUUUAAUAACUCAGUGGCUUACUUGCAAAAUUAAUGCCAAAAUUUAAAAUCAAAUGCCAAAAUUGAUUUUUCAAAAUACCACACCCAACUUUAGGGAAUAUCUGCCUACUUAAUAUUGAAAUUUAAGCAGUUAAUUUUUUGGAGGGAAAAAAAUCUCUCGUGGAAGAAUAUUUGCUUUUGUAUGUAUUUUACAAGGUAAUGAAACAAUUGUGUAAUAGGUUGACAUUAUUGGGAAGAAGAACAGUUCAUUGAAGAGUUUACAGGAAAGAAUGACUUCAGACUAAAGGGAGAGUUUACUUGAGAUAAGAGAGAAACGUUGUUGUAACAGCAAUUCAACAAUGGAACACCCUCGCACAUGAGGUCACUGAGGCUCUAUAAAUGAUGUUUAGAGAUUAGAUAAGACUCAGUAACCUUUAUGAUAGAUACAAUCCUUUGCAGACAAAUUUUUUUAUUGUAUGGGAAGAUUUAAAGAUUUUGUAAAAGCUAUUAGACUUACGUGCCAGAACGGUGUGCUUUAGAAAAGCUGAAACCACAGAAGACAGACACUGAGAAAAGAAAAAUGAUUAAUAGAAAACUAAAUUUCCUUUUGACUGAACACACCAAAAAUCACAGGGAAGCCUAUUUAAAAAUUAAAGCUGAAAGGGAACGUAUUUUUGUUUAACAAAUGCCUGUGCUAUUAAGAGCCAAAUUCUCAUCUCCCAUCUUAUCUUAGUUUCAUGUCCUCUGCUUUGCUUCCCAGCCAUGCUUGGUGUUGCCCCUGGACUGCAUGAACAUUUUCCUUAUUUGUGCUUCCAGGAACUACUAUGACUGCCAGCUAUCCCUGAAAUCUCCUUUGUGUGCCAUGAAUGGGAGGAGUGAGUCUGAUAAAGGAUAUUUCAUCAUCUGUAAUUCUCUAUCCAGAUGUUUUAUUUGAUAGGGGUAACUUUUUAAUUUAAAAAUAAAUUAAAUAAAUCCAUUUAGUGGCUCUUUUGCUUAACAUAAAUCUUUAAUGCGAGUCUCUAUUACAAAGUGCUUUUAUGCAAAAAUAAGUUGCUAUACUAAAAUAUAUGCAGCAAGUCAUCACUUUUAUUCCAUAUUUACUCCUGUAAGUUUAAUGUAUGUUAGCAAUCUAAAAGAUAGUCUUAGAAACAAGCAAAACAUUUUUAAUUACUAAGAGAAAGGACUGAAUAUAUUUUUUCACAAACAUUUAGAAUGUCUGUUAUAAUUCAGCACAGAACAACUUUGCUCCAUUUCAUAAAUACAUGAGGUCCCAAGUCUGAAAUUCUUACUCAUGAGACUAUUCCCAUUUAAAUCAAUUGCACAAAUGGCAAGAGUAAAGGUUUCAGAAUCAGGUGACUAAAGAAUGUCUGGAAUGCAGUGAAUUACAAGAAAAUGAUUUCAUCUAGAUCGUUUGGUGACUCAUAAACCACAAAAGCAGUACUCAAAGCUGAAGGCAGUCAGACAUUCUGUUUAGCUCACCAUAGUAUACAUAUUGUCAUUUAAGAUUACAAUAUAGUUGGAGCUUGGAUUGUACAUUACAAAACUAAAAUAUCAGUGUAACAGUUUAAAAUAUUUGAAACUAGUGUAUUGUAAUUGUUAUGUAUUUAACUAUUUUGAGUUUCACUCUCCUCAUUCUUGAACUUUGAUUUAAACUUCCAAAAAAGUAACACACCCAUUGGGGUAUGGAAAAUUUCUGACUGAUGGGUGACAGUUGAGGACUGUCUGAGUAAGAUUGGAAUGGAAACCUUUAUGUAAUUUUAAUUGUAGCAGUUGAUACCAUUUACAUCAUAAUCAGUUAAAUUAGUUGUAGGCCUUGGCACUAGAAGAAAUCUAUGAGGUGGAAAGUUAAAUGAAGCUUUUGCUGAAAGGGACAUUGCCAACUUAAUCUAGAUUUUUUUUUUCCAAAAAUUAGUUAAGUCAUCUCAGCCUCCUGAGUCAACCUGCCAACUUUUGUGGUUUGCAAUCGUACUUCACUAUUUUUAACAAUGGUUUUCCUCUUCCUGGUGCUGCGUAGGACACGGGAAACUGAAAAAAGCCCCAGUUCUGUAAUGAAGUGGUAUGUGGGCACAUGGAUUCAACUACUCAGCUCUAGUGCAGACUUACAUUACUGAUUACCUAUUGUGCUGUUGAUUGUAUUUUUGCUACUCCAACAUUCCUUGGCCCCCUGGCCAAUUCAUUCACUUCUGGAGUUCUCCCCUGUAGUAACCCUUACGUAUACCAAAAAAUCAUAAAUCGACUCACUACCUUGUCAUCUUCAAGAGUCUCUGCUCUUUUGUUGUACCUACAGAAUACUCACAUAAAAAUGGUUCCACUGGCAGUAAGUUACAUUGUGUGCACAGCUAACAUACAUGAACACAUGCUUGUAUUAUUGUUACCUUGUCCUCCCUAUCCCCAUUUGUUUCACUUACCCUGAAGUUACUUAUCCAAGGUUACAUAGCUGGUCCAUAGCAGAGACAGGAAUUAGAGCCCUUGACUCGUCACUUCCAAUCCAGUGCCCUAUCCACUGGACCUCAUUGUUCUAUGUGCUGUUCAGACACAGGUAUGUAUAUGCUGCAGUGUACAAGUGGCUGGGCCCCUUUGCAUGCAAAACUGUGCUUGUGGAUGCUCACAUGUGGGAUUAGUAUUGCACAGCUGCAUCCAAGUCAGACUCAUCUAGCUGUGUGCACACUGGUAUUGCAGUUACACUGGUUUGGCACUAGGAUUGCUGUGAGCAUAUCCCAGGGUUCUUAGUACUUCACUAACCUGGUCUCUUCUAGGAAGUGGUUUGCAGUAUAUUGUGGGAGAACUUGCCCAUCCUUCCCAAACCCCUACACAGAAGCGUUCUUAACCCCCUAACGCAUUUGGCUGUGGCACGCCCAGCUUGGCAUGCUCUCUGCUUCUGGCCAUUCCAGCCCAUGCCAAGCCCUAGCUUGAGCACAGGUGGAUGAGCUGUUCCUGCUUGUGACAACUAUAGACAGAUGGACUGUGGAUAGCAUUUCACCAUCAGUGUCUGACCCUCAGAAGGCAGGGGCAGGUCUUGGAAGGGAGUUCACUCAUGGCAGAGUGGAGAUAUACCUGUUGCAUGCUGCAAUCAUAUGUAGAGUAGUGCUAGAUAGUUAGUACCAUGGGAUCACAUCAUCAUGCAGACCUGGGAUGAACAGCAGUGGGCCCAGAACUCCUGAGGAAGGCCAACUUCAUGGAGCCGUAUGAAUAGCAUGCUCCCAGACACACAAAUGGUGCUGUGAUAGCAGCAGUUGAUGCUAUGGUUUACCAGUAGGUGGUGGAUAUAAACAAGGUGCCAGAAAUAAUAGCUGGCUUCGAGAUAAUUGGCUUCCCCCAAACUGUGCUGGGCCAGCAAUUGCAUUUAUGGUACUGCCACGAAGGGCACAGGAAAGUGAAAACUGCAAAGGUUAUUAUGCAUUCUGCAGGCCU